rnacentral:rRNA from 1 species
CGUACGGGUAAACCGCGAAUGGCUCAUUAAAUCAGUCGAGGUUCCUUAGAUGACACGACCGCUUACUCGGAUAACUGUGGCAAUUCCAGAGCUAAUACGUGCAUUUAAAGCCCUGACCCCCGCGAGGGGGGAGGGGCGCUUUUAUUAGUUCAAAACCGGCGGCGCUCUCCGUUCACGCGGGGGGCGCCCUCCCCUUGAUGACUCUGGAUAACUUUGAGCUGAUCGCACGGCCUUCGUGCCGGCGACGCAUCUUUCAAAUGUCUGCCCUAUCAAAUGUCGACGGUACGUGACAUGCCUACCGUGUUGGCGACGGGUAACGGGGAAUCAGGGUUCGAUUCCGGAGAGGGAGCACGAGAAACGGCUACCACAUCCAAGGAAGGCAGCAGGCGCGCAACUUACCCACUCCCGGCACGGGGAGGUAGUGACGAAAAAUAACAAUACGGGACUCUUCAUGAGGCCCCGUAAUUGGAAUGAGCGCAGUCUAAACCCUUGAGCGAGGACCCAUUGGAGGGCAAGUCUGGUGCCAGCAGCCGCGGUAAUUCCAGCUCCAAUAGCGUAUAUUAAAGUUGUUGCAGUUAAAAAGCUCGUAGUUGGAUCUCGGGCGCAGGCGGGCGGUCCGGCUCGCGCCGGCUCACCGCCCGUUCCCCUGCCCCACCCCUGCCGGCUCCCUCCCGGUGGUGCUCUUGGUUGAGCGUCCCGGGCGGCCGGCGCGUUUACUUUGAAAAAAUUAGAGUGUUCAAGGCGGGCCCGGCGUGCCCGAAUAACUGCGCAUGGAAUAAUGGAAUAGGACCUCGGUUCUAUUUUGCUGGUUUUCGGAAUCCGAGGUAAUGAUUGACGGGGACAAACGGGGGCAUUCGUAUUGCGGCGUUAGAGGUGAAAUUCUUGGAUCGCCGCAAGACGGGCUACUGCGAAAGCAUUUGUCAAGAAUGUUUUCAUUAAUCAAGAACGAAAGUCAGAGGCGCGAAGACGAUCAGAUACCGUCGUAGUUCUGACCAUAAACGAUGCCGACCGGCGAUCCGCGGGAGUUGAUUCUAUGACUCCGCGGGCGGCCUCCGGGAAACCUGAGUCUNNNNNAGCCUGCGGCUUAUUUGACUCAACACGGGAAAACUCACCCGGUCCGGACACCGCGAGGAUUGACAGAUUGAUAGCUCUUUCUUGAUUCGGUGGGUGGUGGUGCAUGGCCGUUCUUAGUUGGUGGAGCGAUUUGUCUGGUUGAUUCCGAUAACGAACGAGACUCUGGCCUGCUAAAUAGGCCGCCGGUUUCCGCGCGACCCGGCGCUCGGUGAUUCGUCGCCGGCGCUCGGGCACCUCGCGCGCGCCGGCGGGACUUCUUAGAGGGACAAGCGGCGUUUAGCCGCGCGAGAUUGAGCAAUAACAGGUCUGUGAUGCCCUUAGAUGUCCGGGGCCGCACGCGCGCUACACUGAAGGGAUCAGCGUGGCCGCCCCCCUGGCCCGAGAGGGCUGGGAAACCCGUUGAAUCCCCUUCGUGCUAGGGAUCGGGGCUUGUAAUUAUUCCCCGUGAACGAGGAAUUCCCAGUAAGCGCGGGUCAUAAGCCCGCGUUGAUUACGUCCCUGCCCUUUGUACACACCGCCCGUCGCUACUAUCGAUUGAGCGGUUCAGUGAGGGCAUCGGAUCGGUCGCGGCCUGGGGUUCGCGCCCCGGCGCCCGCGCGCCGAGAAGACGCUCGAACUCGAUCGCUGGAGAAAG